rnacentral:lncRNA from 1 species
CGGGCAGGAAGUGCGGGUGCGCGCCUGCGCAUAGGUCGGGUCUGCGGUGUCACCGCUUUCGCUUCUGCUUGAGGGCAUAAGGAAAUGGUGGCAGGCACUUCCUCCUAACAAGAAGGAAGUAGUUAAAGAAAAUAUAAGGAAGAAUAAAUGGAAGCUAUUCCUUGGUUUGAGUAGUUUUGGAUUGCUCUUUGUGGUGUUUUAUUUUACUCACCUGGAAGUAAGUCCAAUCACAGGAAGGAGCAAGCUACUAUUAUUGGGGAAAGAACAGUUCAGACUUUUAUCGGAACUGGAAUAUGAAGCAUGGAUGGAAGAAUUUAAAAAUGAUAUGCUAACUGAGAAAGAUGCCCGAUACCUGGCUGUUAAAGAAGUGCUUUGUCAUCUAAUUGAAUGCAAUAAAGAUGUUCCAGGGAUCUCUCAGAUCAAUUGGGUUAUUCAUGUGGUUGAUUCCCCAAUUAUUAAUGCCUUCGUGCUUCCAAAUGGACAAAUGUUUGUUUUCACUGGAUUUUUAAAUAGUGUAACCGAUAUUCAUCAACUUUCUUUCCUUCUGGG